rnacentral:lncRNA from 1 species
UGAUUAAGUGAUUUUUACCAUCCUGAAGUGAGAGCGUCAUGAUGAGUGGACUUGAGGAGACUCAAGUAUCUUUGACAUCUUCAGUAGAUUAUGAUGAAAUCUUGAAUACAACAACCUUUCAUCCACAAGAGGGGAAACUACAUCAGAGUUUGAGUUUUGCCAGGUAUUAUGCAGCGGAAAUCAUAACACAACUCAACCUAUGAACACACACUUCA